rnacentral:lncRNA from 1 species
GCUAUGGUACAAUAACAAAAACAUUUGAUAAACAUAACAAUGGUAACUUAGAUAAUUAAUUAAAUCAUAUAAUAAGAGAAACCUAAAUCACGUUAUUUUUUUUCUUCAAAGAAAUGAUAAGUAUUUUCUAUCAGAAACAUACUAUUUAGUUAUCUUCAAACUUGCAUGACGCUUAAAAUAAAUCAAUGUCACGUGCAUAUUGCUAAUUUUAUGUGAGACCUGUCUUGUUCUUUCACUAAAAGUUAUCAUUUAAUUUUAAAAUUUAAGGGAAAAAACAUAUGCUACAUUCAAUUCGUCUUGACACAUUAACGUCGCAAAGUAAUUGUUACACAUCGUUUUAGCUGGACAUCGUAAUAUUUGUACAGAUCAACAUUUGCUUGUUUUAUAUUGAAAAUGUUGUUUCAAUAACAUUAACGGUCCAAUUUUCCUGCACCAGAUGCAGAUUUCAAAUGUGUGAGAAUACGUUGCCCAUGAUCAAACCAAAGACUCAAAAGAUAAAAGUAUACAGGAAUGUGCGACAUGUACGAUACAAUAAAAUAAACGUUUCAUUAAAAAAUAAUGGUAAUAUAGAAUAUAAAGCGUUGCUAUAAGUGGCAAAGAAAAUACAAAAAUAAAGUUUUAAAUGUCAAAUGAACAAGUUUUUACACGAAGGGACAAACCUCAAGUAUGCAAUAAUUUAUCGAACUCGUUUCUUUUCAAGCAUCGGGAAAUUUCUAAAAACUAUUGAAAAUUGGAAAUACAUUUCAAAGAUCAUUAUUUACAAAAAGACUUGUACAUGAAAACAUCAACUUUGGAAACUAAGUCUGUAAAAUACUAAUAUAUUCAAUUAAAAAAACUUAGCCCUACAGAUUGGCAAAGAUUGUACAAACAAAAAGUGUAAAAUAUCAAAUAGAAAAAAACUAUUUACAUAGAGGGACAAAACUUUAAAAUGGUGCAAUUCCUUUCAGAACUCUUUAUUUUUUAAUCGUCAGAUACUUUUUCAAACCUGUCGUAUUUACAAAAAAGGAACAAAACUUAUUUGUGCAAUUCUUUUCUGAACUCUUUGUUUUUU